GACGAACGCUGGCGGCGUGCUUAACACAUGCAAGUCGAACGGUAAGGCCCUUCGGGGUACACGAGUGGCGAACGGGUGAGUAACACGUGGGUGAUCUGCCCUGCACUUCGGGAUAAGCCUGGGAAACUGGGUCUAAUACCGGAUAGGACCACUGCCUGCAUGGGUGGUGGUGGAAAGCUUUUGCGGUGUGGGAUGGGCCCGCGGCCUAUCAGCUUGUUGGUGGGGUGAUGGCCUACCAAGGCGACGACGGGUAGCCGGCCUGAGAGGGUGACCGGCCAAACUGGGGCUGGGAUACGGCCCAGACUCAUACGGGAGGCAGCAGUGGGGAAUAUUGCACAAUGGGCGCAAGCCUGAUGCAGCGACGCCGCGUGAGGGAUGACGGCCUUCGGGUUGUAAACCUCUUUCAGCACCGACGAAGCGCAAGUGACGGUAGGUGCAGAAGAAGGACCGGCCAACUACGUGCCAGCCGCCGCGGUAA
rnacentral:rRNA from 1 species